rnacentral:tRNA from 7 species
AGGGGUGAAGUGUAAUGGCUAUGCACGCGGGAUUCCAAAUCCUUGCAGACUGGGUUCGAUUCCUAGCACGCCUG